UCCGUUGCCGCUACCCCCUCAAUGACACUAUAAAACUGGUAGCUGAAAGACGGGCUGUCCCUGCCUCCUCCAUUGGAAGAGGUCUUGGAUCCCUGCAGUUCCACCCUUACAGCUCUGGGCAGACGGGCCAGAAGAAAGCCACGGAUGUCUUGAAUCUGAAGGCCCGUCUAGCAAGAGAUGUGACCUUCUCCCAGUUCUAUCCCGAGUUCCCUGUGUCCAAGUCUGGGCUGGAGCCCUUGUUCCUGGAGGUUGGGCUCCUCCAUCACCAGAACUUGGCUGACCACCUCAUCCUGCAGGACUGCUGGGCCACAGAGACCCCUGAACUGGAUGCCACCCCUCAAUGGGACCUGAUCAC